AUGCAAUGUCAGUACGGAAGGAAGAAAUGUCAGCCAAUACGGUCGGGUCGAUCAACUUAUGUGAACACAACCAAUAUGGUCGGGUCGAUCGCCCUGGCCGGAACCGGGGCAAUGACUACCAAUAGUAUGAAGAGGAGGCGGGCAUCACACGGAGACAUUGCUCUUGCUCCUGCCAGAUUAAUUGCGCGGCAUAAACCGCAUAGCUCAUAUGCACAAAAAGUUCAUUUAGUGGACAAGCACCGCACAGCUCGGUAUCUUGGGCUGCUUGCUAUGCAUCUGACGGAGGCACUGUGCAUCUAA
rnacentral:rRNA from 1 species